AGAGUUUGAUCAUGGCUCAGAGCGAACGUUAGCGGCGGGCCUAACACAUGCAAGUCGAACGAGAAUGAGGGGGCAACUCCUCUAGUAAAGUGGCGGACGGGUGCGUAACACGUAGGUAAUUUACCUUCCGGCGGGGGACAACAGUCCGAAAGGAUUGCUAAUACCGCAUACGUCGGCGAGGUCUACGGACCUUGUCGGGAAAGAUGGCCUCUCCUUGGAAGCUGUCACCGGAAGAUGAGCCCGCGUCCCAUCAGCUAGUUGGCGAGGUAAUGGCUCACCAAGGCUUAGACGGGUAGCUGGUCUGAGAGGAUGAUCAGCCACACUGGGACUGCGACACGGCCCAGACUCCUACGGGAGGCAGCAGUGGGGAAUAUUGGGCAAUGGGCGAAAGCCUGACCCAGCCACGCCGCGUGAGUGAUGAAGGCCUUCGGGUCGUAAAGCUCUGUGGGGAGGGACGAAUAAGUGCCGUAUUAACACCACGGUGCCCUGACGGUACCUCCUUAGCAAGCACCGGCUAACCAUGUGCCAGCCGCCGCGGUA
rnacentral:rRNA from 1 species